rnacentral:rRNA from 1 species
UACAGGCUUAACACAUGCAAGUCGAGGGGCAGCAUGGUCUUAGCUUGCUAAGGCCGAUGGCGACCGGCGCACGGGUGAGUAACACGUAUCCAACCUGCCGUCUACUCUUGGACAGCCUUCUGAAAGGAAGAUUAAUACAAGAUGGCAUCAUGAGUCCGCAUGUUCACAUGAUUAAAGGUAUUCCGGUAGACGAUGGGGAUGCGUUCCAUUAGAUAGUAGGCGGGGUAACGGCCCACCUAGUCUUCGAUGGAUAGGGGUUCUGAGAGGAAGGUCCCCCACAUUGGAACUGAGACACGGUCCAAACUCCUACGGGAGGCAGCAGUGAGGAAUAUUGGUCAAUGGGCGAGAGCCUGAACCAGCCAAGUAGCGUGAAGGAUGACUGCCCUAUGGGUUGUAAACUUCUUUUAUAAAGGAAUAAAGUCGGGUAUGGAUACCCGUUUGCAUGUACUUUAUGAAUAAGGAUCGGCUAACUCCGUGCCAGCAGCCGCGGUAAUACGGAGGAUCCGAGCGUUAUCCGGAUUUAUUGGGUUUAAAGGGAGCGUAGAUGGAUGUUUAAGUCAGUUGUGAAAGUUUGCGGCUCAACCGUAAAAUUGCAGUUGAUACUGGAUAUCUUGAGUGCAGUUGAGGCAGGCGGAAUUCGUGGUGUAGCGGUGAAAUGCUUAGAUAUCACGAAGAACUCCGAUUGCGAAGGCAGCCUGCUAAGCUGCAACUGACAUUGAGGCUCGAAAGUGUGGGUAUCAAACAGGAUUAGAUACCCUGGUAGUCCACACGGUAAACGAUGAAUACUCGCUGUUUGCGAUAUACUGCAAGCGGCCAAGCGAAAGCGUUAAGUAUUCCACCUGGGGAGUACGCCGGCAACGGUGAAACUCAAAGGAAUUGACGGGGGCCCGCACAAGCGGAGGAACAUGUGGUUUAAUUCGAUGAUACGCGAGGAACCUUACCCGGGCUUAAAUUGCAGAUGAAUUACGGUGAAAGCCGUAAGCCGCAAGGCAUCUGUGAAGGUGCUGCAUGGUUGUCGUCAGCUCGUGCCGUGAGGUGUCGGCUUAAGUGCCAUAACGAGCGCAACCCUUGUUGUCAGUUACUAACAGGUUCCGCUGAGGACUCUGACAAGACUGCCAUCGUAAGAUGUGAGGAAGGUGGGGAUGACGUCAAAUCAGCACGGCCCUUACGUCCGGGGCUACACACGUGUUACAAUGGGGGGUACAGAGGGCCGCUACCACGCGAGUGGAUGCCAAUCCCCAAAACCUCUCUCAGUUCGGACUGGAGUCUGCAACCCGACUCCACGAAGCUGGAUUCGCUAGUAAUCGCGCAUCAGCCACGGCGCGGUGAAUACGUUCCCGGGCCUUGUACACACCGCCCGUCAAGCCAUGGGAGCCGGGGGUACCUGAAGUGCGUAACCGCGAGGAGCGCCCUAGGGUAAAACUGGUGACUGGGGCUAAGUAG